GAUGAACGCUGGCGGCGUGCCUAAUACAUGCAAGUAGAACGCUGAAGCUUGGUGCUUGCACCGAGCGGAUGAGUUGCGAACGGGUGAGUAACGCGUAGGUAACCUGCCUCUUAGCGGGGGAUAACUAUUGGAAACGAUAGCUAAUACCGCAUAAAAGUCGACAUUGCAUGAUGUUGAUUUGAAAGGUGCAAUUGCAUCACUAAGAGAUGGACCUGCGUUGUAUUAGCUAGUUGGUGAGGUAACGGCUCACCAAGGCGACGAUACAUAGCCGACCUGAGAGGGUGAUCGGCCACACUGGGACUGAGACACGGCCCAGACUCCUACGGGAGGCAGCAGUAGGGAAUCUUCGGCAAUGGGGGCAACCCUGACCGAGCAACGCCGCGUGAGUGAAGAAGGUUUUCGGAUCGUAAAGCUCUGUUGUAAGAGAAGAACGAGUGUGAGAGUGGAAAGUUCACACUGUGACGGUAACUUACCAGAAAGGGACGGCUAACUACGUGCCAGCAGCCGCGGUAAUACGUAGGUCCCGAGCGUUAUCCGGAUUUAUUGGGCGUAAAGCGAGCGCAGGCGGUUAGAUAAGUCUGAAGUUAAAGGCUGUGGCUUAACCAUAGUACGCUUUGGAAACUGUUUAACUUGAGUGCAGAAGGGGAGAGUGGAAUUCCAUGUGUAGCGGUGAAAUGCGUAGAUAUAUGGAGGAACACCGGUGGCGAAAGCGGCUCUCUGGUCUGUAACUGACGCUGAGGCUCGAAAGCGUGGGGAGCAAACAGG
rnacentral:rRNA from 1 species